rnacentral:rRNA from 1 species
CUACGUGCCAGCAGCCGCGGUAAUACGGAAGGUCCAGGCGUUAUCCGGAUUUAUUGGGUUUAAAGGGAGCGUAGGCGGAUUGUUAAGUCAGCGGUUAAAGGGUGUGGCUCAACCAUGCAUUGCCGUUGAGACUGGCGAUCUUGAGUGCACACAGGGAUGCCGGAAUUCGUGGUGUAGCGGUGAAAUGCUUAGAUAUCACGAAGAACUCCGAUCGCGAAGGCAGGUGUCCGGGCUGCAACUGACGCUGAGGCUCGAAAGUGUGGGUAUCAAACAGGAUUAGAUACCCUGGUAGUCCACACAGUAAACGAUGUAUACUCGCGGUUUGCGAUAUAGUGUAAGCCGCCAAGCGAAAGCAUUAAGUAUACCACCUGGGGAGUACGCCGGCAACGGUGAAACUCAAAGGAAUUGACGGGGGCCCGCACAAGCGGAGGAACAUGUGGUUUAAUUCGAUGAUACGCGAGGAACCUUACCCGGGCUUAAC